CCUAGUGCCUAGAAUGCCCCUGCUCCUGCCUUUCAUAUGGCCUGGACUGUUGCUUCAUUCAGAUGUCAAUGUCACUUCCUCAGAGAGUCCUUACCACUUCAUCUAACAUGCCAGCCCUAUAACACCCUAUUCCUUUAACUUGCUUCUAUUUUUUCUCACGGCAUUUAUUGACUUCCUGCCAUUACAUUUUCUAUUUAAUUGUUUAUUUCUUCAUUGUCUGUGUUCUCCUAUUAGAAUAUAAGCUCUAGGAAAGCAGGUGUCUUUGUCAGAUUUGCUCACUGCUGUAUCUCCAGCGCCUAGAACAGAGUCCAUCAUAGAAUAAACAAUAAAUAAUUUGCUGGAUCAAAAACCAAAUGAAUGCAAUUUGCAAAUUGCUUUGUUUUGCUUCAUUUUUUUGUCCUGGUUGACAGGAAGUUUAGUAUUACAUUUAAUGGUGAGUCAUGGUAACAUAUUAGUCUUCAUUGUAAACACAUAUGUGUCUUCCUUUUUUAAUAUUCUGGUACUCUACUUUUAUUCUAAUAACAUCAUACAUCUCCUUUAUUUUAAGAUACAUCUAUUUCAGAAUGUGACAGAAAAACACCAAUAGGCAGGAAAGAGGGGGCGGAAGGAAUUCACCGUACUCUCCAGUACCCCAGUUGCUGGCUGGUUAAUGAAGCAUUCUUCUCAUCAAGCUGCCUCAGUUAUUUACCAAGAGAAUGACAACCCAUUCCCCACCCCCAGCUCGAACACCCACUGUGAUCAGCUCCCUCACUUCAUGACAAUGAGGCGAUAUGUGUGGGACUGGUUUUCGCAUAACUACAAAGCUUCAAAAAAAAAGUGAGACCGUCCCUGCUGUGUUUGGUGGCUGUGGAGUUGAUGGCAUCUUUGCUCCAGGUGACACCUGCAUGCUGGCCAGCUGAGCGGCAUAGAGCUGCUGCAAAACAGGGAAGACAAACAUUGAUCUCUUUAAAUGCAGCUGAAAUUGAGUUUCAAAAGAAAAAACUUACCAUAUUGUUAGAUUUCUCAGACAGCCUUGUAAUUUCUUUUUCACUAUUUUUAAAAAAGGAAGCUAAGAGAAGGCAAAUAAUAAAACAGAAAGAAAAAGGACAGGUAUGGGAGCCAUAGUUCUGUUUCUGGUCCUUCUAGCAACAACUUUAUGAUCCUGGACAAAGGAUUUGAUCUCUUUAGAAUUCAGGUUUUUUUUUUUAAUUGUACAAAAAGGAAUUCAACUAAGUAGCCUCUAAGAUGCUUUUUAAUGCCU
rnacentral:lncRNA from 1 species